rnacentral:rRNA from 1 species
CCUACGGGGUGCAGCAGUGGGGAAUAUUGGGCAAUGGAGGAAACUCUGACCCAGCAACGCCGCGUGAAUGAUGAAGGUCUUCGGAUUGUAAAGUUCUUUUCUAAGGGAAGAAGAAAGUGACGGUACCUUAGGAAUAAGCCUCGGCUAACUACGUGCCAGCAGCCGCGGUAAUACGUAGGAGGCAAGCGUUAUCCGGAAUGACUGGGCGUAAAGGGUGCGUAGGUGGUUCAGCAAGUUAGUAGCGUAAUUCCGGAGCUCAACUUCGGCACUACUACUAAAACUGUUGGACUUGAGUGCAGGGGGGGCAACUGGAAUUUCUGGUGUAGCGGUGGAAUGCGUAGAUAUUAGGAAGAACACCGGUGGCGAAGGCGAGUUGCUGGACUGUAACUGACACUGAGGCACGAAAGCGUGGGGAGCAAACAGGAUUAGAUACCCCUGUAGUC